rnacentral:rRNA from 1 species
UCCGUAGGGUGCGAGCGUUAAUCGGAAUUACUGGGCGUAAAGCGUGCGCAGGCGGUGCUGUAAGCCAGAUGUGAAAUCCCCGGGCUCAACCUGGGAACUGCAUUUGUGACUGCAUCGCUGGAGUGCGGCAGAGGGGGAUGGAAUUCCGCGUGUAGCAGUGAAAUGCGUAGAUAUGCGGAGGAACACCGAUGGCGAAGGCAAUCCCCUGGGCCUGCACUGACGCUCAUGCACGAAAGCGUGGGGAGCAAACAGG